AUACGGAGGGUGCGAGCGUUAAUCGGAAUUACUGGGCGUAAAGGGCGCGUAGGUGGUUAUUUAAGUCAGAUGUGAAAUCCCUGGGCUCAACCUAGGAACUGCAUCUGAAACUGGGUAACUAGAGUUUAGGAGAGGGGAGUAGAAUUUCGGGUGUAGCGGUGAAAUGCAUAGAGAUCCGAAGGAAUACCAGUGGCGAAGGCGACUCCCUGGCCUAGAACUGACGCUGAGGUGCGAAAGCGUGGGUAGCAAACGGGAUUAGAUACCCUAGUAGUCC
rnacentral:rRNA from 1 species